AAUAAGCUCAUCGGUUCAGUGAUUGAAGAUGUUGUCUCUUCAGUUGCCAGAAAUUUGCCGUGAUAAAUCGGGAAAUAUAUGGUAACGUUCGGAGUAAGGAGUGAGCAAACGUGCAGAAAUGCAGGGUAGGCUCACCAAUGUACUGACUGAACCGAAACCGAUUUGAUAAAAAGGAUGUCCUAAAACAAAAACGCAUUAUAUUAAGGAUAGCCUUGGGGAAUUUUUUCUUGCAAUACCAAAGAAGCCUUUUUUAUUUUAUAAUUAUUGCAUUAAAUAGUUUUUUUUCUUU